rfam:Myotis davidii contig143243, whole genome shotgun sequence.
GGUGAUUCUUGGGUGAUGCACCCCAAAAUCGGGCUGCCUCCUUUCUGGUUCUGGUUGUGUCACCUGAACAGCA